GGGUGGUUAGUUAAAUGGCAUCACUGCGGUCUCCACAACCGCUAUCGGGGGUUCGAUUCCCUCACCACCCG
rnacentral:tRNA from 1 species